ACUAAUUUAGUGUAAAAGCACUGUUAAUUUCCAAUUAACCAGAUCUUUUUAGUAGAAACUCAGUA
rnacentral:tRNA from 1 species